ACUAAAUAUAGUGGUCACGGUCUCUCGAGUCGCAAUACCGAGAGCUAAGAGGGAAGCUGGUGCGCUGGGGCAAAUGACCCGGCAAUGCCGGCGCUGCCCCCGCAACUGUAAGCGGCGAGCCGAAGUCCACUUUAUUGUCACUGGGAUCGCAAGGUCCCGGGAAGACCGGACUGACGCUGGGACCCGCGAGCCAGGAGACCUGCCGCGACAGCAAAAACGUU
rnacentral:ncRNA from 2 species